AAUGAGAUCGAUAGUUAGAGAUUUUUUUUUUUUUUAUGUACAAGAUUAUCAUAUAGGGUGGAUUUGCCCUAUCUGAUAAUCUUGUUAAUAUGGGACUGCAGUGCAUAUGCAGUCUAAUGGCUUUUAAUUUUAUGUUUCGUUUUCAACUGAUUGUAUAUUAAUAAUCUGCUUCAUCUGGUCCCAGUAGUCUGUAUAUGAACCUCUGUUUUCUGUCUCAGCGGCUAAUGGCUAUAUUGAAACCAAACCACUAGGCUUAUGUUGCUAGAUAGGUGUUCUUGAUGAAAGCAGCCUACCAUGAAAUUCAUUAACAGAACAUAACUCUAAUAUACUUGUACUUCAAAGUCUGAGCAUAACUUAGUGUUAGUUAGAAUGUUAAUUUCCAACCAGGGCUGGGAUAUUUAUUAUGAUAAAUUUGCAGUAAUGACAAGGCGUGACUAGAAUUUACUAUGUCAUUUUGGCUCAAUUUAUUUACACAUGGUGAUUCCAGACCCAUCUCCUUCAAUGAAGAAUAGUAGGGCAUAUAUUCGUCUGUCGGAGGAGAAUGCACGAAACAAGACUGAGGCAGAAAUGUACAAGGCAAAACUAGACUCCAUGCUGGGUGAUAUUGCAGAGUUGAGAAGGAAUUUCUCAGAGCAUGAGAAGCUCUUAAUGAGCUAUCGGAACACUGACUUAGAGGGUGGUAGUGAGGCUCAUAGAGAGACUCACAGAGAUGAUUAGUUUUCUACGUGACAUUGGGAAGUCUUUUUUGUGGAUGGCUAACAUUUGGGAAUUAUGAUUUUUGUGGAGGGCCAGUUUGACAUGGCCAUUUUUGGGUGGAAUGUAUCACAAUUUGUUAGCCUGUAGAUAUGUGUUGGCCAUGGACUUAUGUUAUACAGUUUUUUUUUUUUUUUUGGUAAUGUAUGGUUGAAUCUAGUUAGGGUGGAUAUGAGUUAACGACUGCUGCAACAAAACUAAGAUACUGGGUCAUGUUUUUUGAUGGGUUGUUACUAAGAGAAUGAAGGGUUAGCAGAAUGAGAAGACUGAAAUCAGUGCUACAUGGAUGGAGGAUGUUGGUUGCAGUGACCACGAUUUCAUGAUAAAGCAGCUUACCAGGGAAAUAGGUCAUCAUUUACCAACAUGCUGUGUGGAAUCAGGGACUGGAAUCAAACACCUGUCAAACAGAGAUCUUCAGCAAGAAGCCAUACACAAUUUUUUUAUUAAACUGUCAUAUAUGGACCUCUUGGUUAUCAUUGA